rnacentral:rRNA from 1 species
CCAUACACGGGAGGCAGCAGUGAGGAAUAUUGGUCAAUGGUCGGGAGACUGAACCAGCCAAGCCGCGUGAGGGAUGAAGGUACAGAGUAUCGUAAACCUCUUUUGUCAGGGAACAAAGGCGGGGACGCGUCCCCGGAUGAGUGUACCUGAAGAAAAAGCAUCGGCUAACUCCGUGCCAGCAGCCGCGGUGAUACGGAGGAUGCGAGCGUUAUCCGGAUUUAUUGGGUUUAAAGGGUGCGCAGGCGGUCUGUUAAGUCAGCGGUCAAAGCCCGGGGCCCAACCCCGGCCCGCCGUUGAAACU